rnacentral:lncRNA from 1 species
UGGGUGUCUAUUAAAGUCAUAGGGAAUAAUUAAUUCAAAGGUAUGUCAGCUGGACUGUGAUUAUUAUAUUUCUGAUAACAAAUAAGCAUGAUUACAAAUUAUAUUUCUGAUAACAAAUAAGCAGCGCAAUAUAUCUGUAAGGAUUGCUGAAACCAAAAGAAAUGCCAUUUUCCAUUUUUUCUGACAAUGCAGUAAAGUAAGGUUGUGAUUUAAUUCUUCACAGGCCAGAAUGUUACUUUCAAAAUCUACAUUCCAAAACUGACCCAAGCGGAGAAAACACAUAUUUCACUUAAUUUCAAUUUCCUAAAGACUGAAAAGAGAUGAUCUUUAUUAAAGUUUAUUUUAAAACCUACAGAUAAAAGAUGCUAAUCGAUGACUAAUCGAUGAGUAAAGUCACAUUACAACUUUGGAUCAGUUCAGGAAAAAAAAACAAACAAGUACACACAUUAUAAUGCUAAGCAUAUCCCUACUCUUCAUUCAAAAUAUCAGAAAACAAAAAGUUGUCAUACAGAACCGUAAUUUGCUCGAAUAUUAUAAAACAUCACUGUUGAGGAAACCAAGAGUUGCAGGAAAAAAUCAAUUCUUUAAUCGGUAAAGCACAUUUCUAAAGUGUUCUCAUAAAAUAGGGUAAAUGGUACAGAUCAUAAUUAUAAAGUUCAAGAUCAAAUAUCAAAUCUAUUCCUUGAUACAAAAGUAGAGUAAUAUGCAACAAAAAAAUCCAUUUUCAGUUAGUAUCAUAAAAAUUCUAAAUUUCAUCACACAAAAAGUGUCUGCCCAGCAAAUAUUAAAUUCUCUUACAGAGUAGUACAUAGUUUUAUAAGGACAAAAUUUAACAUUUUCAUGGUUACAACUAUUAAAGUGAUCGCAAUCACUGGUACAAAUAUUUGAAGCUGUGUUUGCAUAAUUUUAUUCAUAUUUAGCCUUCCAUUGUAAGGUGGUUGACAUUAUUUUUCUAAUUAUGGCGCUAUUAAAUAUCCUUUGAAAGACAAAAUGUACUUAAUCUGCAUCAAUUUUAAUAAUGUUUAUCCAUAGGUUUUAUAGUACAUUGUAAUUUAAUAGUUUGAGCAAUAAAUGUUUGCAAACAGAAGAAAUUACAAAAUAAAGUUUCCUUACAAAAAAAAAAAACAAAAAGAAGUAAAUUCUUUUAUAAAAAUCAGGAAUAAACAUAGUAAGUAGUCUGUUGUUAAAUAUGUAUUAUUGUCAUUUUGUUUAUUUUCUUUUGUUACAUCUCUUGACAUUGGACUCCGACUUCUCUUGAACUGAAUUUUUAUGUGCGUAUUGUUAUGCGUUUACUUUUCUACAUUGGCUGGAGGUAUAGGGGAGGGUUGAGAUCUCAUAAACAUGCUUAACCCCGCCACAAUUUUGCGCCUGUCCCAAGUCAGGAGUCUCUGGCCUUUGUUAGUUUUGUAUAAUUUUUAAUUUUAGUUUCUUGUGUAUAAUUCAGAUGUCCAUUAUCACUGAACUAGUAUACAUAUUUUUAAGGGGCCAGCUAAAGGACGCCUCCAGGUGCGGGAGUUUCUCGCUACAUUGAAGACCCAUUGGUGGCCUUCAGAUGUUGUCUGCUCUAUGGUCGGGAUGUUAUGGCUUUGACACAUUCCCCAUUUCCUUUCUCAAUUUUAUUAUAAAUUUUAAUGUAGCUUGCUCAGUUUGAAUUAUUCCUCAAUACUGUUCUGAGCAAUUCAUCUAUAAUUGUAACAUCAAUAAUACUGUAAAUUAAGAAAAUAUUGCAUGCAUUUAUUAUUGCGAUUCUGUCAUUUUGGACUUAAAUUUUAAUUUUUUGCGAUAUAGAAAAAAUUUCAAAAUGUGAGUUUAAAUUAUUGCGACUAUAACCAUGUCACAUUUUUUGCGAUAAUAAAAAUCAUGCAAAAAUGUAUAAAUUUACAGUAGAUUAAUUAAAUAUGAUUAUGGCACUGAUUGUAUUAGUAAAACAAACUGCACUUACAUUUUCUUUAUACAGAUUUUCAUUACAUCUAUAACAGCUAUAUACCAUGCGUGAAGAUAAUUUAAAUUGGGAUUUACACAACUAAAUGUAUCAUAUGAAUAAAACUAUUGAUUCCAUAGUAUUAUAAAGUUCUAACAUUCCAUGAGUUGUUAUCUUUAUUAUUUAAAAAGAAAGAUUUAGAAUCACUAAACGGGGAAAAUGUCAAUUACUGGUUUAUUUUCAAUGAAAAGUCUUUUCAAAAGAACUGAGCCUUACAAAAGGUUAGCUGACUUACUGAUAAUGAUUGUUAUCAAUUUGAAAAAUUUCAAACUUCAUUUUACUAAGUGACAGACUUUGAAACAACUCAUUAUACAACUAUAAACCAAAUAUCAGCUCACUGACUGUAGGAACAGCUUACAUAUGAGGCCUAAACUCAAUUUCACAUGAAAUUUUUGUAAUACCCUUGCUGUAAGAAGUAGAUAAUAUGUAAACCAUAACAAAGAUCACCACAGAAAUUUUCUGGAAGAUGUACCAAAUUAAUAUUUUAACUGUAUACAAAUAUUUUUAUAUUUUAAAGCUUUUGCAAUACUCUUAUAGUAUACAUGUACAAACAUGAAUAUAUUUUAAUUUUAUGACAAAAAGAAAA